rnacentral:rRNA from 1 species
UACGUAGGUGGCUAGCGUUGUCCGGAUUUACUGGGCGUAAAGCGCGCGCAGGCGGUCGUCCAAGUCGAGUGUGAAAGCCCCCGGCUCAACUGGGGAGGGUCACGCGAUACUGAUCGACUCGAAGGCAGGAGAGGGAAGUGGAAUUCCCGGUGUAGUGGUGAAAUUCGUAGAUAUUCGGAAGAACACCAGUGGCGAAGGCGACUCGCUGGACAGACAUUGACGCUGAGGUGCGAAAGCGUGGGGAGCAAACAGG